rnacentral:rRNA from 1 species
UACGUAGGGUGCAAGCGUUAAUCGGAAUUACUGGGCGUAAAGCGUGCGCAGGCGGUUAUGCAAGACAGAUGUGAAAUCCCCGGGCUCAACCUGGGAACUGCAUUUGUGACUGCAUAGCUAGAGUACGGUAGAGGGGGAUGGAAUUCCGCGUGUAGCAGUGAAAUGCGUAGAUAUGCGGAGGAACAUCGAUGGCGAAGGCAAUCCCCUGGACCUGUACUGACGCUCAUGCACGAAAGCGUGGGGAGCAAACAGG